GACGAACCGUGGCGAACGUUGUUCGGAAUCACUGGGCUUAAAGGGGCGCGUAGGCGGGCGGUCAAGUCUGUGGUGAAAUCCUUCGGCUCAACCGGGAGAAUAGCCUGGAGAUACUGGCCGUCUCGAGGGGGUAGGGGCAUGUGGAACUUCCGGUGGAGCGGUGAAAUGCGUAGAUAUCGGAAGGAACGCCGGUGGCGAAAGCGGAGCGUCGCUGGACCCUUUCGACGCUGAGGCGCGAAAGCCAGGGGAGCAAACGGGGAUUAAGAAACCCGUGGUACGUCC
rnacentral:rRNA from 1 species